rnacentral:rRNA from 1 species
CAGUAGCCGCGGGAAUACAGAGGGUGCGAGCGUUAAUCGGAUUUACUGGGCGUAAAGCGUGCGUAGACGGCUUUUUAAGUCGGAUGUGAAAUCCCUGAGCUUAACUUAGGAAUUGCAUUCGAUACUGGGAAGCUAGAGUAUGGGAGAGGAUGGUAGAAUUCCAGGUGUAGCGGUGAAAUGCGUAGAGAUCUGGAGGAAUACCGAUGGCGAAGGCAGCCAUCUGGCCUAAUACUGACGCUGAGGUACGAAAGCAUGGGGAGCAAACAGGAUUAGAUACCCCCGUAGUCCCUGUCUCUUAUAC